rnacentral:rRNA from 1 species
UACGGGGGGGGCAAGCGUUGUUCGGAAUUACUGGGCGUAAAGGGCGCGUAGGCGGCCUGCUAAGUCACACGUGAAAUCCCUCGGCUCAACCGGGGAACUGCGUGUGAUACUGGCGGGCUCGAAUUCGGGAGAGGGAUGUGGAAUUCCAGGUGUAGCGGUGAAAUGCGUAGAUAUCUGGAGGAACACCGGUGGCGAAGGCGGCAUCCUGGACCAAUAUUGACGCUGAGGAGCGAAAGCCAGGGGAGCAAACGGG